AAGUAGUAUAAUAUUGUUAUUUCUGCACCUUUGUGUAUGGAUUGGUUGGUGUAAUUGUUUCAUAAUUUAACUAUACACACCCAAUGAAGUCAGGCAGAAAAGCAUAAGCAUAGUUUGGUUCACUUCUCAUCAGGUUCCUCAUAUGUUUACAUCACAAUAAGGAUUUUGCAUAAACAUAUAAACAUAAUAGAAUGUUCAUAAGGACAAUCUUCAUAUUUCUACAGUACGAAAGAGACGCAGCACAGCCAGGCCACAACCCACACUGCCAAGAGAUGCAGAUGCUGGCGAUGCAGGUCCUUCUUCAUCAAACACCCCUCCACUAAGACGACCAUCACAGGGCUCGGAUAGACUCCAUAAGAUGCCUACCAAGAGACGCCGGCUUUAGGCUGAAUCUCCAGCAGCAUCCUCACUACCACAACGGCGCAUCUCUACAGUGUCGUCCCUGCCACCACAAGCCAUUUUGGCCAGUCCACAAAGCGAGGAUCCACAAUCCCCUCAGCUGUCUGGUCUCUACAACGGCUAUUGUGAUGAGGGAUGUGACAACUCGGAAACCAUCUACUAAAAAUCUAU